UUACAGAUGCCUUUCUCAUGUAUCUGUAGCGUGCUGUCUCAGUUGAGCCUUCCGUCUUAACUUUUUAUCUGGACCUAGAACACCUUAAUAUUAGGUCGUCAUCUGCCAAAGAAUACUUAGUCAUUUAAUUUGUUGACAUGCCAUGUUGUAAUUCAGGCAGGCUAUUAAUGUAUGCGGAGUCUAUGGAUACUGAAAAACUAAUGUUUAGUCAUACGGUUUGUGAUGUACGUU
rnacentral:lncRNA from 1 species